rnacentral:rRNA from 1 species
CCUACGGGAGGCAGCAGUGAGGAAUAUUGGUCAAUGGGCGUAAGCCUGAACCAGCCAAGUAGCGUGAGGGAUGAAGGUCCUAUGGAUUGUAAACCUCUUUUAUAAGGGAAUAAAGUGCGGCACGUGUGCCUUUUUGUAUGUACUUUAUGAAUAAGGAUCGGCUAACUCCGUGCCAGCAGCCGCGGUAAUACGGAGGAUCCGAGCGUUAUCCGGAUUUAUUGGGUUUAAAGGGUGCGUAGGUGGGCUGUUAAGUCAGUGGUGAAAGUUUGCGGCUCAACCGUAAAAUUGCAGUUGAUACUGGCAGUCUUGAGUACAGUUGAGGUAGGCGGAA